rnacentral:rRNA from 1 species
UCUGGUGAUCCCUGCCGGACCCGACUGCUAUCAGAGUGGGACUAAGCCAUGCGAGUUGACGUAGUAAUACGUAGCGAACGGCUCAGUAACACGUAGUCAACAUGCCCAGGGGACGUGGAUAACCUCGGGAAACUGAGAAUAAACCGCGAUAGGUCACAAUUUCUGGAAUGGAUUUUGGCUUAAAUCUACAUGGCCCCUGGAUUGGACUGCGGCCGAUCAGGCUGUUGGUGAGGUAAUGGCCCACCAAACCUGUAACCGGUACGGGCUCUGAGAGGAGGAGCCCGGAGAUGGGCACUGAGACAAGGGCCCAGGCCCUAUGGGGCGCAGCAGGCGCGAAACCUCUGCAAUGGGCGAAAGCCUGACAGGGUUACUCUGAGUGAUUUCCGCUAAGGAGAUCUUUUGGCAGCUCUAAAAAUGGUGCAGAAUAAGGGGUGGGCAAGUCUGGUGUCAGCCGCCGCGGUAAUACCAGCACCCCGAGUGGUCGGGACGAUUAUUGGGCCUAAAGCAUCCGUAGCCGGUUGUGCAAGUCCUCCGUUAAAUCCAGCCGCUCAACGGAUGGGCUGCGGAGGAUACUACAGGACUAGGAGGCGGGAGAGGCAAGCGGUACUUAGUGGGUAGGGGUAAAAUCCUUUGAUCCAUUGAAGACCACCAGUGGCGAAGGCGGCUUGCCAGAACGCGCUCGACGGUGAGGGAUGAAAGCUGGGGGAGCAAACCGGAUUAGAUACCCGGGUAGUCCCAGCUGUAAACGAUGCAGACUCGGUGAUGGGCUAGCCUCGUGUCAGCCCAGUGCCGCAGGGAAGCCGUUAAGUCUGCCGCCUGGGGAGUACGGUCGCAAGACUGAAACUUAAAGGAAUUGGCGGGGGAGCACCACAAGGGGUGAAGCCUGCGGUUUCAUUGGAGUNCACGCCGGGGACUCUAGAG